AUGGCUCAGAUUGAACGCUGGCGGCAGGCUUAACACAUGCAAGUCGAGCGGAGACUUCGGUCUUAGCGGCGAACGGGUGAGUAAUACCUAGGAAUCUGCCUAUUAGUGGGGGAUAACGAAUCGAAAGGUUCGCUAAUACCGCAUACGUCCUACGGGAGAAAGGGGGGGAUCUUCGGACCUCUCGCUAAUAGAUGAGCCUAGGCCGGAUUAGCUAGUUGGUAGGGUAAAGGCCUACCAAGGCGACGAUCUGUAGCUGGUCUGAGAGGAUGGCCAGCCACACUGGAACUGAGACACGGUCCAGACUCCUACGGGAGGCAGCAGUGGGGAAUAUUGGACAAUGGGGGCAACCCUGAUCCAGCCAUGCCGCGUGUGUGAAGAAGGCCUUCGGGUUGUAAGGCACUUUAAGCGAGGAGGAAGGUUUUUAGUUUAAUACACUAAAGAAUUGACGUUACUCGCAGAAUAAGCACCGGCUAACUCUGUG
rnacentral:rRNA from 1 species